rnacentral:rRNA from 1 species
AAGACCUUGCGCUUUUGGAGCGGCCGAUGCCUGAUUAGCUUGUUGGUAAGGUAAAAGCUUACCAAGGCUUCGAUCAGUAGCUGGUCUGAGAGGACGACCAGCCACACUGGGACUGAGACACGGCCCAGACUCCUACGGGAGGCAGCAGUGGGGAAUUUUGGACAAUGGGGGCAACCCUGAUUCAGCCAUGCCGCGUGAGUGAAGAAGGCCUUCGGGUUGUAAAGCUCUUUCAGCCGGAACGAAACGGUUACGGUUAAUACCCAUGACUACUGACGGUACCGGAAGAAGAAGCACCGGCUAACUACGUGCCAGCAGCCGCGGUAAUACGUAGGGUGCGAGCGUUAAUCGGAAUUACUGGGCGUAAAGGGUGCGCAGGCGGUUUUGUAAGUCAGAUGUGAAAUCCCCGGGCUUAACCUGGGAACU